GUGGCUGUGUCAGAAUUAUAUGAGUUAGCUUUAAGCGCUAAUUAUGGAAGUUUUCCCAGUCACU
rnacentral:tRNA from 1 species